GUCUACGGCCAUACCACGUUGAAAACACCGGUUCUCGUCUGAUCACCAAAGUUAAGCAACGUCGGGCCCGGUUAGUACUUGGAUGGGUGACCGCCUGGGAAUACCGGGUGCUGUAGACU
rnacentral:rRNA from 1 species